UAGGAAAGUUAGAAGCUUUCUUACGUAAAUUUCUUU
rnacentral:tRNA from 1 species